rnacentral:tRNA from 2 species
GCGUCCGUAACUCAAUUGGAUAGAGUAUUGUCCUCCGAAGACAAAGGUUUCAGGUUCAAAUCCUGUCGGACGCA